rnacentral:rRNA from 1 species
UACGUAGGGUGCGAGCGUUAAUCGGAAUUACUGGGCGUAAAGCGUGCGCAGGCGGUUGUGCAAGACAGAUGUGAAAUCCCCGGGCUUAACCUGGGAACUGCAUUUGUGACUGCACGGCUAGAGUGUGUCAGAGGGGGUAGAAUUCCACGUGUAGCAGUGAAAUGCGUAGAGUAUCGAGAGGAACACCUGCGGCGAAGGCGGGUAGCUGGGCCGACACUGACGCUGAGGCGCGAAAGCCAGGGGAGCGAACGGG